rfam:Brachypodium distachyon strain Bd21 chromosome 2, whole genome shotgun sequence.
AUAAUAUUCCUCCGUCCAACAAAGAAUGUCUCAAAUUUGCCUAAAUUUGAAUGCACAUAUACACUAUCAUAUCUAGAUACAUCUAAAUUUUGACAAACUUGAGACAUCUUUUGUUGGAUGGAGGGAGUACUAG